GCUAUUAGGUUGGUGCAAAAGUAAUUGUGGUUUUAAUGUAAAGUACAUUAAAAGUACUUUUAAUGGCAAAAAACGCAAUUACUUUUGCACCAACCUAAUACUCUCU
ensembl:miRNA